rnacentral:rRNA from 1 species
AAUGAACGUUGGCGGCGUGGAUUAGGCAUGCAAGUCGAACGAGACCUUCGGUCUAGUGGCGCACGGGUGCGUAACGCGUGGGAAUCUGCCCUUGGGUUCGGAAUAACAGUUGGAAACGACUGCUAAUACCGGAUGAUGACGAAAGUCCAAAGAUUUAUCGCCCAGGGAUGAGCCCGCGUAGGAUUAGCUAGUUGGUGAGG